UGCAGAGGUCCCGAGCGUUGUUCGGAUUUAUUGGGCGUAAAGGGUGCGUAGGCGGCGGAGUAAGUUGGGUGUGAAAUCCCGAGGCUCAACCUCGGAAUUGCAUUCAAUACUGCUUCGCUCGAGUACUGGAGAGGAGGCUGGAAUUUACGGUGUAGCAGUGAAAUGCGUAGAUAUCGUAAGGAAGGCCGGUGGCGAAAGCGAGCCUCUGGACAGUUACUGACGCUGAUGCACGAAGGCCAGGGGAGCAAACGGG
rnacentral:rRNA from 1 species